rnacentral:rRNA from 1 species
GAGCGCAACCCUUGUCCUUAGUUACCAGCACGUUAAGGUGGGCACUCUAAGGAGACUGACCGGUGACAAACCGGAGGAAGUGGGGAUGACGUCAAGUCAUCGUGGCCCUUACGGCCUGGGCUACACACGUGCUACAAUGGUCGGUACAAAGGGUUGCCAAGCCGCGAGGUGGAGCUAAAUCCCAUAAACCGAUCGUAGUCCGGAUCGCAGUCUGCAACUCGACUGCGUGAAGUCGGAAUCGCUAGUAAUCGUGAAUCAGAAUGUCACGGUGAAUACGUUCCCGGGCCUU